CGGACUGAAGGCUCUUUCUCGAUUCCGUGGAAAGUGGUGCAUGGCCGUUUUUGGUUGGUGGAUCGAUCCGUCUGGUUAAUUCCGUUAACGAACGAGACCUCGGCACUCCGAAUAGCGCGGCGGACGUCGCGGCCUCCGGGCCGUCUUCCGCACGAGCUUCUUAGAGGGACCGUCCCCCGCCGGGGAAGGAGGUGCGAGGCAACGACAGGUCUGUGAUGCCCUUAGAUGUUCUGGGCCGCACGCGCAUUACACUGACGCGUCCAACGGGUGACUCCCGACCCGAAGGGGCCGGGGAAUCCGCAAGGCGCGUCGUGAUGGGGAUUGAACGUUGCAAUUGUUGUUCACGAACGAGGAAUUCCUAGUAGGCGCGGGUCAUCAACCCGCGCCGAUUACGUCCCUGCCCUUUGUACA
rnacentral:rRNA from 1 species